rnacentral:rRNA from 1 species
AUUGAACGCUGGCGGCAGGCCUAACACAUGCACGUCGAGCGGAGCGGCGGCCGGGAGAGUAAUGCCUAGGAAUCUGCCUGGUAGUCGGGGUUAACGUCCGGAAACGGGCGCUAAUACCGCAUACUUUCAGAAGAGCCUAGGUCGGAUUAGCUAGUUGGUGGGGUAAAGGCCUACCAAGCCGACGAUCCGUAACUGGUCUGAUAGGAUGAUCAGUCACACUGGAACUAAGACACGGUCAGAACGCCUACGGGAGGCAGCAAUAGGGAAUAUUGGACAAUGGGAGAAAGCCUGGUCAAGCCAUGCCGCGUGUGUGAAAGAGGGCUUGGGAUUGUAAAGCACUUUAAGUAGGGGGGCGUUACCAACAAAAUAAACACCAGCGAACUACGUACCAGCAGCCGCGGUAGUAC